ensembl:antisense Gm12841 predicted gene 12841
AGACCCAGGAAGGACGCAGGAAUCCAUCAGGUUCCUCCAUCAGCUUGCUUUAGGGAUGGGAAGAGACCAGGAGCCGGAUGGCUAAGGCCCUUCAGGGAAAGCAUAGGCAUUUCAAUGGAUACCUAUCCCCGCUGGUUUUCCCUUACCUCAGCCAUGUUGCUGAUGACAAUUGCCAUGAUGAUGCCAUAGAUGGCCACCGCUUCACAGAAGAUAAUACUGGCAACAGUGAUGGUAAAUGGUGGGGGAGGGGGAGGGGGAGGGAAACUCUUUAAGAAGGAAAUCAGCCAUUUCUGCAGAAAAUCCCCAGCCAACUUUCCCUGACUCACAUACACGCUACGAUGAGA